GUGCCAUGCUUGGACUCGUUUUUGCUGUUUUUGGGACAGUGGUGCCAUUCCCCUCCCGUGACUGACUCCUGCGUGCAGUCCCUAAUCUGCCCAUCACCGCCGGGGCACUGUCCACAGCAUUCUGUUGAUUUCCUCCACACUGUCUAACACAACCUGAAACAACCUCAUCUGCCCACCACGUCUCAUCUGUGCCUCCCUGCCUGGAACGGAGCUGCAGGAAGGCAGCGAUGUUUGUCUGGAGGUUCCCUGUUCGCUGGUGCGGG
rnacentral:lncRNA from 1 species